UGCCAGGACUGACGGGAGGGUCAUGGGAUGGUGACCGUGUGCCGUCAGGGUCAAGGGUCCUAGCCCUGGACAGGUUGUGGCCCAGCAGAGGGCCUCUGGAAAGAUGUCCUACCAUCUCGAUGAAUCCAGGAAGACUUCCUGAAGGAGGUGGGGCAUGGAGAGCCAUCUAGGAUUCCCUUCUUCCCUAUCUAACCCUUGUCCGCGGCUGGCGAGAAGUCAUUUUGAGAGAGAGGAGAGGGACACCCACCAGGUCCCCCCGUUGAGUAUCGGAGCUGCUCAGCCACCUACCGUCAUGACGGCUGACAGGCCCUGGGCUCAGACUGGCCGCCGUGGGCUUACUGAACUCGCUGAUGUGGCUGGCCCCUCUCCCCGAAUCAGAAUCCUCCUUAGCAGAAAGCAGCCUGCACAGAAGCCGGGAGCCCGCGCUAAGCUGCUUCCAGGGAGCUUGGACAUUGGGCAUGCGGGGUUGUGACAGCUUGGGGCCCCGAGGAGGUCCCUUCUUGACCCAGAGCUGCCCCCAGGGCUCCGGCCACAGGUCCCCUUGCCCUGCAGGUAUGUCUGUUGAUCCCAAGCCCUGGUCACAGGGUUGUGGGCUUUCUUGCCCACACGUGCCUACCCCGCCUAGGACCCUCCCCACUGCCUACAGCUCUUUCUCCCCAAAUGGAGAGGGACAGAUUCCUGUGGCUCUAGGACUUGGUGUCUAGGGCCAAACAGACCGCCAGAUACCUGAUAAACAUCAGUGUUUACCUGGCAAGUUUUAUUUCUGGAAAUGCAAGUCACAUUUCCCUCCACGUCCCGGCAUCCCAACCCCCUGCUCCCUAGAGAAACCCUUAGGAUCUCUUGUGUAUCCUCCGGGUAUUUCUACGUAAAUGCAUCCAGUGGUGGGUGUUUGCAUACAUAUAUGCUGUUCGACUCCUUGUGUUUUACCUAAUGGUACACACGGGAGACUUCUGCUUAUGCAAAGCUGCCUCCUCCUUCUUCCUCCUCCCCCUCCUCCUCCUCCCCCUCACGAGGUCCACUCGUGGCUGUAGCAUGCUUUAAUUCGCUUCUCCUUUCACCUAGACCCUUGGGUUGUGCAUAGACACGCGUUUCCCACGUGCUCAACGUGUACCUGUGGACUGAAUUCCCAGCAGUGGGAUCGUCGGCUCAGGGGUCAACCCAUCUGCAUCUGUGAUAAAAAUGCCUAAAUCAUCUUUUAUCAGGGUCGUAUCGUCUUGCAUUCAUAGUGACCUAGGAGAGCGCCUGGUUCCCAGUGCGACAGUCUUACCGAGAGGCUGUGUCGUCGCGCUUUGGAUAUUUGCCUGAUAGAAUGUUCGAAGGCCAGCGUCAGCUGAGCCCAUGUCCCAAUGAGGCCAACUCCACACUGCUGCUGCCUGAAUUCGUGAGGGUCCUGCCUGCCCAUCUCCCUGAUGGAUCAGUUCUGCUGGCGCCGGGGACAGGACACUCCGGGACCAGAGUGCUUGAGGUACGCGUCAGGUAGGAUGGGGGGGAUCAGGACGGCUCUCUGCGCUCGUUUAAGGGAAAGAAGAAAUCAAGGAAGUGAUACAACAGACAUUGUGGCCUUCCUCUGUGUGGCCCGGUGGGGCCACGUCUGCUACUGGGAGGGGCCAGCUUGCUUCCCGAGCCUGCCUGUUCCCCAGGGGGAGGAAGGUGCCACUCCCCCGGACUCUGAAGGACAAAGAUGGACAGCUGGCUCUAAAAAGACGUAGAGGGGCGCCUGGGUGGCUCGGUCGGUUGGGCGUCCGA